rnacentral:sRNA from 1 species
UUGCCAGCCCUGGAGAUGUAGGUCUUCCAUUUACUCCCAGAACAGGUGCAGCACAGACAGCAAUAAUGCAAGUUUCUACUCAGUGCUCUGCCCAGACCUGCAGGGACCAAUCUUACCAGCAAGAUAAUAGUUUAGGGUCCAUCGAUAUUCAGGUAUUUUUCUUUU